AACAUUUCUGCCUUGAUAUUCACUGGGAAGGUCCCUUGUUCGCACAGACACUGUCCAAUCCUGCGUAACAUGGAGUGAAAAAAAACUGGCUUCUGAACAAGAGCUUGCAAUUGUGGGAGAAGUGAGUGGAGGGAGGAACAGCGGCCAUCUUAUCCAAGGAUGGUGUCAUCCAGCAGCUAGAGGCUAAAAAGGGGCACUCUACAAACUGAACGAAAACAUGUUGACUUAUAAUGAGAAGCACAAGCAAAUGGAAGCAAAAGUGUGACUGUCAACAGUGAGUUGCAGCGUGGAUUCUCAGGAUAGCAAAGGCCUGGACUGCUCACCAAGUGCUUUGUGCAAGUUUGAACAGCAACAGCAAUGUCAUGUAAAACGACUGUUCUCAGGGUCAGGUGCCACAGCUUGAUGAACGAGAUAGAAUCGCACAAUGGGAUCAAAGGGACAGCCAGCCCAGUUUAUUUCCAGAGGAAAAGCUUACCAGGACACAAAGGAGGAAAAAAAGACUCGGCUUGAAACCAAUUCUUCCCUGAAGUACAAAUGAAAAAUUCCUAGAUGUUGACUUAUUGAGUUGGAGCAUGAACAUUUUAAAGACUUUCAAUGUGUUCAGCCAGACUGCUCUUCAGAAAAAUUACGCCCAUUUGUUCCCACCAGCAGUCAUGAGAGCAUGUGCUUCCCUGAGCCCUUGCUAACAUUUGAUAUAAAAUUGUUAUGUCAUUCAAAUCUGUUAAUCAUUUUUUAAACUUUUUGCUUGUAAAGAUCUUCCCUAGCCCAACAUCAAAUGAAUAAUAACUUUUUUCAUAAUAAAAGAAAUUAGGCCAAUUA